rnacentral:lncRNA from 1 species
GCGUAUGCGUAUGUGUUAUAUUGGCGUAUGUUUGUGUGUUAUUGGCGUUUGUGUGUACGUGUGUGCAGCUUAUAGUUGAUAAUUAUUUCCUAAAUGUCUUGUGAGAAAUAUUUUGAAAUGUUUUCUCUCGACAAGGAAAGUCAAAGUAGUAUAUAUGUAUACACGAUCGGAAAAUUACCCGCCUAUGCAUAUUAUAGGACCAAACGAACGUAUUUCUUGUCAUAGGGUCGCAUUUCUAUGAUGUGACGGUUAUGGCAAAUUCUG